rnacentral:rRNA from 1 species
UACGAAGGGGGCUAGCGUUGUUCGGAAUUACUGGGCGUAAAGGGCGCGUAGGCGGUCCUUCAAGUCAGGCGUGAAAGCCCCGGGCUCAACCUGGGAACCGCGCUUGAGACUGGCGGGCUAGAGUUCGGGAGAGGAUGGCGGAAUUCCCAGUGUAGAGGUGAAAUUCGUAGAUAUUGGGAAGAACACCGAUGGCGAAGGCAGCCAUCUGGACCGACACUGACGCUGAGGCGCGAAAGCGUGGGGAGCAAACAGG